GUAAAGCACCUCAACAUGUUACUACUCUCAUGAAAAGGUUGUAGUGUUUGCUUUGGUUUAUUGUCAAGUAGAAACGAACCACUCCUACCCUGUGGACGUCAGAACACCGAGGCCAUAUUAGUCCGUUGUCAAUGGUAAUGAAUGAAUCGAUAGUGGGGGACAAAGUCUUUAGAGUUGCAUCAUAUGCCAUGUCGCCAUCAUCCUUUCGCAAUAAGCUACGGCUAACUACUCCAUUCGUUGAAUCUUAACGUGUUAUUGGUGUGUGUGUGAGGUUUUGGUUUGCCGUCUUUCACUACUUAAUCUUGAGAAAGGUGUGAGCGUGUUAAUGGGUGACCCUUUGUUCUUUUCACUAAUCCAAUAGUUGUGAAUACAUGCUCCAAAUACCUUUUUGAAUUCAAUAAUGUAUUUUAGUAUUUGGAAUAAUGCAUGAGCCUGACUAUAUUUUCGUUUUAGGUGCAUUUGUAAAGAUAACGUUUUAUUGAAGUUCUGUGAUGGCCUAGUGUUGCGGUUAUUGUUACAUCUACAUGUAAUAUAUUUACAUCCUAACCAUUUUUUUCGACAGGAAGCAAGUCCGUUGAUAUGCUCCAACUAGGUGAUGCACCCUGCGUCACCUAUGUGGUUUAAUCUGGUUUGUUGAUCUGGUUUAUUGCAGAAGAUACUGAACAUGGCAAGGGUGCUCCGCUGCCAUCCAGGACAGGGUGUGUGUGUGGUGACGGCUGGUUUAACCUGUUGCACACUGAUUACUCAAUGCGCAACAGGUACAGGCUUCAACCAUUCAUUCUCCACACACACUCCCACACAAUAAUUGUAUCAAAAGUGACAAUGCAAAAGUUCUGUUAACAAACCUUAGUUAAAGUAAAACGGCAAUAUAUCCCAGUCUAAAAUGCCUGCUUGAAUAGAAGUAGCAUGAUUAGCUAUAGUUAAUCUAAGUGGACUGACAAUAUGAAGACGAAGCUGGAACUAUGAAUAACUCAAAGUCAAUGUAGUGUUAGUUUUUAAAUAAAAGGCCUACUAUACACUUUAUUUAUUUUUAAAUGUGUUGAUUUUCUUUAAGCUUCUCCUCCUGUGUGGGAUGGGGGAGGGGGUUGAAAAGGCCAAAGAAUACAAGAGGCACUUCCACUUACUAGUCUCGCACAUCUUUCUCAAGGCAAAGUUAUGAAAGAGGACCGAGACAAAUACAUGCCCCGAUAUAUAAGGUAGUUCGCUGUAAAGAAAACUCAGAGUUAAUAUGACAGUUGAAGAAUGUCUGUUCCUUACAAAAACACAGUAGCUUCGGUUUUUUCCAACUAACUCAACAAGUUUUGAAUUAUAUUGUGGAUGGGCUCUGAUGUUGAUACCAAAUAUAUGCUGGAUGCCUUAUUUAGGAAACAUGUUACGGUCUGGCUGGAAAACAGAUAGCUGACAGAAGGAACCUUUUUUAGGAAAAGGUCAAAACGUCACAACAGAUUUUUACAUCAAUCGAACUGAAACCCUGAUGUUAUGUCACCAGCUGUGAGUGGGUUUAGCCAUUACAAACCUUUUGAAAAUCUCCCUUUGCCUCUCUUUUAGUGACAACACAAGUGGUCUGUCAUUUCCAGAUGUAUACUGGUUAGAUCCGUCGACCAGCCUACCCAGUGAACUUUAGCAAAUUAUACUUUUCUAUCCAUCAUACAUCUAGGUGGACACGGCCACUUGUGAUUGCACCACACAGGAAAAGGCAGAUUUUACAAUGGUCUGUAAUGGCUAGACCAACUCCCAACAUGU